AUUGAACGCUGGCGGCAUGCCUUACACAUGCAUGUCGAACGGCAGCAUGGAGAGCUUGCUCUCUGAUGGCGAGUGGCGAACGGGUGAGUAAUGCAUCGGAACGUACCGUGUAAUGGGGGAUAACGUAGCGAAAGUUACGCUAAUACCGCAUACGACCUGAGGGUGAAAGCAGGGGAUCGCAAGACCUUGCAUUAUACGAGCGGCCGAUGUCAGAUUAGCUAGUUGGUGAGGUAAAGGCACACCAAGGCGACGAUCUGUAGCGGGUCUGAGAGGAUGAUCCGCCACACUGGGACUGAGACACGGCCCAGACUCCUACGGGAGGCAGCAGUGGGGAAUUUUGGACAAUGGGGGCAACCCUGAUCCAGCCAUGCCGCGUGAGUGAAGAAGGCCUUCGGGUUGUAAAGCUCUUUCGGCCGGGAAGAAAUCGCACAGGCUAAUACUCUGUGUGGAUGACGGUACCGGCAUAAGAGGCACCGGCUAACUACGUGCCAGCCGCCGCGGUAA
rnacentral:rRNA from 1 species